AGGAAUCAGGACUCGCGGCGUGCUUAAACACUGCAAGUCGAACGAUUGAACCUCCUUCGGGAAGGGGAUUUGUGGCGAACGGGUGAAGUAACACGUGGGCAAUCUGCCCUGCACUCUGGGACAAGCCCUGGAAACGGGGUCUAAUACCGGAUACUGAUCAUCUUGGGCAUCCUUGGUGAUCGAAUGCUCCGGCGGUGCAGGAUGAGCCCGCGGCCUAUCAGCUUGUUGGUGAGGUAAUGGCUCACCAAGGCGACGACGGGUAGCCGGCCUGAGAGGGCGACCGGCCACACUGGGACUGAGACACGGCCCAGACUCCUACGGGAGGCAGCAGUGGGGAAUAUUGCACAAUGGGCGAAAGCCUGAUGCAGCGACGCCGCGUGAGGGAUGACGGCCUUCGGGUUGUAAACCUCUUUCAGCAGGGAAGAAGCGAAAGUGACGGUACCUGCAGAAGAAGCGCCGGCUAACUACGUGCCAGCAGCCGGGCAAAUAA
rnacentral:rRNA from 1 species